UUGAAUUGAAGAGUUUGAUCAUGGCUCAGAUUGAACGCUGGCGGCAGGCUUAACACAUGCAAGUCGAACGGUAGCAGGAGAAAGCUUGCUUUCUUGCUGACGAGUGGCGGACGGGUGAGUAAUGCUUGGGAAUCUGGCUUAUGGAGGGGGAUAACGACGGGAAACUGUCGCUAAUACCGCGUAUUAUCGGAAGAUGAAAGUGCGGGACUGAGAGGCCGCAUGCCAUAGGAUGAGCCCAAGUGGGAUUAGGUAGUUGGUGGGGUAAAGGCCUACCAAGCCUGCGAUCUCUAGCUGGUCUGAGAGGAUGACCAGCCACACUGGAACUGAGACACGGUCCAGACUCCUACGGGAGGCAGCAGUGGGGAAUAUUGCGCAAUGGGGGGAACCCUGACGCAGCCAUGCCGCGUGAAUGAAGAAGGCCUUAGGGUUGUAAAGUUCUUUCGGUAUUGAGGAAGGUUGAUGUGUUAAUAG
rnacentral:rRNA from 1 species